rnacentral:rRNA from 1 species
UGGCGGCGUGCCUAAUACAUGCAAGUCGAACGCGCAGCGAGAGGUGCUUGCACCUUUCAAGCGAGUGGCGAACGGGUGAGUAACACGUGGAUAACCUGCCUCAAGGCUGGGGAUAACAUUUGGAAACAGAUGCUAAUACCGAAUAAAACUUAGUAUCGCAUGAUAUCAAGUUAAAAGGCGCUACGGCGUCACCUAGAGAUGGAUCCGCGGUGCAUUAGUUAGUUGGUGGGGUAAAGGCUUACCAAGACAAUGAUGCAUAGCCGAGUUGAGAGACUGAUCGGCCACAUUGGGACUGAGACACGGCCCAAACUCCUACGGGAGGCUGCAGUAGGGAAUCUUCCACAAUGGGCGCAAGCCUGAUGGAGCAACGCCGCGUGUGUGAUGAAGGCUUUCGGGUCGUAAAGCACUGUUGUAUGGGAAGAAAUGCUAAAAUAGGGAAUGAUUUUAGUUUGACGGUACCAUACCAGAAAG